rnacentral:rRNA from 1 species
AGCGAACGCUGGCGGCAUGCUUAACACAUGCAAGUCGCACGGGCCUUUCGGGGUCAGUGGCGGACGGGUGAGUAACGCGUAGGAACAUGUCCAGGGGGUGGGGAGUAACGACUGGGAACGUAGGCGCUAAUACCGCAUGUGAGCUGAGGCGUCAAAGACAGUGAUGCGCCUUUGGAGUGGCCUGCGUCCGAUUAGGUUGUU